ACAGCAGCAGCCGCGGGAAUACGUAGGUGGCAAGCGUUGUCCGGAAUUAUUGGGCGUAAAGGGCUCGCAGGCGGUUUCUUAAGUCUGAUGUGAAAGCCCCCGGCUCAACCGGGGAGGGUCAUUGGAAACUGGGAAACUUGAGUGCAGAAGAGGAGAGUGGAAUUCCACGUGUAGCGGUGAAAUGCGUAGAGAUGUGGAGGAACACCAGUGGCGAGGGCGACUCUCUGGUCUGUAACUGACGCUGAGGAGCGAAAGCGUGGGGAGCGAACAGGAUUAGAUACCCGAGUAGUCCCUGUCUCUUAUAC
rnacentral:rRNA from 1 species